UCACAACCUCCUUGAAUGAGUGU
rnacentral:miRNA from 1 species